GACGAACGCUGGCGGCGUGCCUAAUACAUGCAAGUUGAGCGCUGAAGGUUGGUACUUGUACCAACUGGAUGAGCAGCGAACGGGUGAGUAACGCGUGGGGAAUCUGCCUUUGAGCGGGGGACAACAUUUGGAAACGAAUGCUAAUACCGCAUAAAAACUUUAAACACAAGUUUUAAGUUUGAAAGAUGCAAUUGCAUCACUCAAAGAUGAUCCCGCGUUGUAUUAGCUAGUUGGUGAGGUAAAGGCUCACCAAGGCGAUGAUACAUAGCCGACCUGAGAGGGUGAUCCGCCACAUUGGGACUGAGACACGGCCCAAACUCCUACGGGAGGCAGCAGUAGGGAAUCUUCGGCAAUGGACGAAAGUCUGACCGAGCAACGCCGGGUGAGUGAAGGAGGUUUUCGGAUCGGAAAACUCUGUUGGUAGAGAAGAACGUUGGUGAGAGUGGAAAGCUCAUCAAGUGACGGUAACUACCCAGAAAGGGACGGCUAACUACGUG
rnacentral:rRNA from 1 species